rnacentral:rRNA from 1 species
CUGGAGGUAUCAGAAGUGCGAAUGCUGACAUAAGUAACGAUAAAGCGGGUGAAAAGCCCGCUCGCCGGAAGACCAAGGGUUCCUGUCCAACGUUAAUCGGGGCAGGGUGAGUCGACCCCUAAGGCGAGGCCGAAAGGCGUAGUCGAUGGGAAACAGGUUAAUAUUCCUGUACCAGGUGUUACUGCGAAGGGGGGACGGAGAAGGCUAUGUUGGCCGGGCGACGGUUGUCCCGGUUUAAGCGUGUAGGUGUGUGUUCCAGGUAAAUCCGGUUCACUUUAACACUGAGGCGUGAUGACGAGGCACUACGGUGCUGAAGCAACAAAUGCCCUGCUUCCAGGAAAAGCCUCUAAGCAUCAGGUAACAUCAGAUCGUACCCCAAACCGACACAGGUGGUCAGGUAGAGAAUACCAAGGCGCUUGAGAGAACUCGGGUGAAGGAACUAGGCAAAAUGGUGCCGUAACUUCGGGAGAAGGCACGCUGAUACGUAGGUGA